CGGUCUAUGACGUGCCAGAUGGCGGGGUAAUAGUGCGAGAGGGGCCGGUUGACGGAAGUGUGUGGCAUAGAGGGCUCGUAGGCGGCCCGGUAGGGCCGUUGUGGAAGUCAAAGGCUGAACCGUGGGAGGCAGAUGGAGACGGCGGGGCUAGAGUGCGGAAGAGGCGCGGCGAAGUCCUUGUGUAGCGGUGGAUUGUGCAGAUAUCAGGAGGAACACCAAUAGCGAAGGCAGCACGCUGGGACGGUACUGACGCUAAGGCGUGAAAGCGUGGGGAGCGAACAGGAUUAGAUACCCCGUAGUC
rnacentral:rRNA from 1 species